rnacentral:rRNA from 1 species
CAUAGCCUACGGGGGGCAGCAGUGAGGAAUAUUGGUCAAUGGCCGGAAGGCUGAACCAGCCAAGUCGCGUGAGGGACGACUGCCCUAUGGGUUGUAAACCUCUUUUAUAAGGGAAGAAUAAAUGCUACGUGUAGCAUGAUGCCUGUACCUUAUGAAUAAGCAUCGGCUAACUCCGUGCCAGCAGCCGCGGUAAUACGGAGGAUGCGAGCGUUAUCCGGACUUAUUGGGUUUAAAGGGUGCGUAGGCGGGACGGUAAGUCAGCGGUAAAAAUGCGGAGAUCAACUCCGUCGAGCCGUUGAAACUGG